rnacentral:rRNA from 1 species
CCCUUAGAUGUUCUGGGCCGCACGCGUGCUACACUGAGUGGAUCAGCGGGUCAGGUUGCGCGAAAGCGUUUCCUAAUCUUGAAAUCCGCUCGUGAUGGGGAUUGACGGUUGCAAUUUUCUGUCAUGAACGAGGAAUACCUUGUAAGCGCGAGUCAUCAUCCCGCGCUGAAUACGUCCCUGCCCUUUGUACACACCGCCCGUCGCUCCUACCGAUUGAGUGGUCCGGUGAGGCUUUGGGAUCUGAGCGGAAAGAGCGUUUCGCUCGUUCUGCCCGGAAAACUCAGUCGAACCUUAUCAUUUAGAGGAAGGUGAAGUCGUAACA